GCCUGGCUGGCUCAGUCGGUAGAGCGCGUGACUCUCGAUCUCGGGGUCCUAGGUUCGAGCCUUACGUCAGGUG